rnacentral:rRNA from 1 species
UGGGGAAUAUUGCACAAUGGGCGCAAGCCUGAUGCAGCCAUGCCGCGUGUUUGAAGAAGGCUUUCGGGUUGUAAAGCACUUUCAGCGGGGAGGAAGGCGGUGAGGUUAAUAACCUCAUCGAUUGACGUUACCCGCAGAAGAAGCACCGGCUAACUCCGUGCCAGCAGCCGCGGUAAUACGGAGGGUGCAAGCGUUAAUUGGAAUUACUGGGCGUAAAGCGCACGCAGGCGGUCUGUCAAGUCGGAUGUGAAAUCCCCGGGCUCAACCUGGGAACUGCACUCGAAACUGGCAGGCUCGACUCUUGUAGAGGGGGGUAGAAUUCCAGGUGUAGCGGUGAAAUGCGUAGAGAUCUGGAGGAAUACCGGUGGCGAAGGCGGCCCCCUGGACAAAGACUGACGCUCAGGUGCGAAAACGUGGGGAGCAAACAGG